GAAGAACCUUACCUACCCUUGACAUCCAGAGAAUCUGUUAGAGAUAGUAGAGUGCCUUAGGGAGAUCUGAGACAGGUGUUGCAUGGCUGUGGUCAGCUCGUGUCUUGAGAUGUUGGGUUAAGUCCCGUAAAGAGAGCAACCCUUGUCGUUAGUAUCCAGAUCGUAAUGUUGGGAACUCUAGGGAGACUGCCGGUGAUAAACCGGAGGAAGGUGGGGAUGACGUCAAGUCAUCAUGGCCCUUAUGGGUAGGGCUUCACACGUGAUACAAUGGCCGGUACAGAGGGUUGCGAACCUGCGAGAGUAAGCAAAUCCCAGAAAGCCGGUCGUAGUCCGGAUUGGAGUCUGCAACUCGACUCCAUGGAGUCGGAAUCGGUAGGA
rnacentral:rRNA from 1 species